rnacentral:tRNA from 1 species
GGGCCACUAGCUCAAUUUGGCAGAGCAGCUGACUCUUAAUCAGGAGGUUCCGGGUUCGAGUCCCGGGUGGCCCACCA